GCUAGGGAUGAUUCUUGGCGCUAGUGGUACAGAACCCACUGGCCCAUGCAGGAGACGAAAUGAGACGAGGGUUCGGUCCCUGGGUUGGGCAGAUGCCCUGGCGGAGGGCAUGGCAGCCCACUCCAGUAUUCCUGCCUGGAGAGUCCCAUGGUCAGAGGACCCGGUGGGCUACAGUGCAUAGCAUAGCAGAGUCAGACACGAUUGAAGCGACCUGGCAAGCACACAAAGGCAUGAUUCUCAGCACUGUUGAGAUAUUUGAUUCAUUUAACGGUCACACUAACCCUAUCGCUUUCCCAGUUUUCAGAUGGAGAAAACUGAGGCCACGGGUGAAAUCACAUGCCCAGGGCCCCUUGAAAGGGUGGUAGCUAUGCUGGUCCUGAAUCCUGCGGAAGCCUUAGGAGAUGGGCACGACUGUCAUUACUCCCAUUUUACAGAUGAGGACACUGAGGCCCAGAAAGGUGGCAUUGGCUGCCCCAGGUCACAAGCAACUCCAGGAGGCCUGGGACACUGUUGCCCCUGUGUACAGAUGAGAAAAUUGAGCUCAGAAAGAUGACGUGCCCAAGAUCACACUGCAAACAUGUGGCAGAAAACCUGCCUUUGAACGCAGACCUGAAGAAGAGGGGACAGGGCAGACCCGAGUCCAGGGCCACCUCCCUGUCCCCCAGGACUAUACCCGAGGUCGGCUGCAAAGUUCCUGUAAACACCGAGUCCCUGCCAGGCGGCGUUUACCUCAGUCAUCCCUCAAUCUGGGGAAGUGACCUCCUGGCCCUUCCACCUGAUGGAAAUCCAGAAACCAAAGUUUCCAGAAUAUUCCCUUGACCUGCCUCCCUCUCUUCAGAGUUAUUUUGUUUUCCUGGUUAGUCGGUGAAAGUCUCCAAGAAACUGGCUGGUUUGGCCAGUGCCCUGGGCUGGGUAGGAGGGGUGUUCUGCCGUGUACACUGGGGGCAGGGUGCUGGGGGGACCGUGGACAGGGGAGGCCAGGGGAUCCUCUGCGUGAGCAACCUAAGGCCAGAGUGGAUGCAGCGUUUCCUUCCUAAGGGGUUCUUUGUGCCCUGAACCCGCUGACAGGCUCUGCCCCAUGCCCUGAGGGUACACUCCUGCCACCUUUGGCUAAAAAAAGCAGUCCUUUGAGAGAUCUGCCCUUCUGGGCCCUUCCAGCUUUUUCUCCCACCCCGAGGCCCCCUCCAACACCAUCCUCCAAAAAGACUGUGCCUUUGCGCCCUGCUGAGCUCUCCCCCUGGGAGGCCAUUUCUCCAUUCUCCACCUGCCAGAUGCUUCUCCCUAUCUGUCACAAUUCCUCCACUGUGGGGCCUUCCCAGAACUCCCCUCCCCACCCCCCAGCAGUAUUGUCCCCCUGCCUGGGGGUUGCCAUAGCAACCAUGAGACACCGCCUCCAGAACCACCUUGGCCUCCCACUGGCAAGACCCUGAUGUCCAAGUGGCGAGUGGUCACCUCCACACGGGAGUCACCCAGACCCCUCAAACGUCACAGAGAACCUCAGAACCUCCCCUUUCCCCUCCUAAAACUCCAGCCCUUCCCACUCAUCUUCCCCUCUCAGUAAAUGGUGCUGCUCUUCACCCAGAGGCUCAGGACAAAACCUAGGGGCUAUAUGAUUCCCUGUUGCCCCACCCCACACAUCCCGUCCAUCAGAAGGCCUGUCAACUCAGCUGCUGAAUGUCAAUACAUCCAAAUCUGUAUUCUUGCACCACUGUCGUAGACACACCACCAGGGCACAGGCGGCCGCCACCCUCACCCACUUAACUGUGACCACAGUCCCUUCCCUCGGCUCCAGGCUUCCAGCUUUGCUCCAUCACAGCAGGAAGUACCUUUGUCAAAGAUAAAUUAAGGCAGGUUGCACCCCUGCGCAAAGCUCUCUAGAAUUCCUCUUCCUUCUUAGAAUAAAAACCUCCUCCUCUCCGAGGCCCAUGAGACCUUGUAUGAUCUGACCUUUGUCCACCUCUGUUCCUGCCACACACACCUCCUCCCUGUUCCUGAGCUAGAAAACUCGUCUCUGGACCUAGGCAGAAACUUGCUGUUCCCUUUGCCUGAAACUUCUUCAACCAGAUAUCUGUCUGCUUCAGUCUGUCGUUUCAUUCAGGUCUCUGCUCAAAUAGCAUCACCUCAGAGAAGACUUCCACGACCUGCCCAUGUGAAAUAGCCAGCAC
ensembl:lncRNA